rnacentral:rRNA from 1 species
GAUGAACGCUGGCGGCGUGCCUAAUACAUGCAAGUCGAACGCAUUGUGGUUGAGAUGAUAUGAAGAACUUGUUCAGAUUUGAUUUUCAACAUUGCAAUGAGUGGCGAACGGGUGAGUAACACGUGGGAAACCUACCUCUUAGCAGGGGAUAACAUUUGGAAACAAAUGCUAAUACCGUAUAAUAAUUAAAAACCGCAUGGUUUAGUUUAAAAGAUGGUCUUGCUAUCACUAAGAGAUGGUCCCGCGGUGUAUUAGUUAGUUGAUGAGGUAAUGGCUCACCAAGACAAUGAUACAUAGCCGAGUUGAGAGACUGGACCGGCCACAAUGGGACUGAGACACGGCCCAUACUCCUACGGGAGGCAGCAGUAGGGAAUCUUCCACUAAUGGACGAAAGUCUGAUGGAGCAACGCCG